GAUGAACGCUAGCGGCAGGCCUAAUACAUGCAAGUCGAACGGUGUCUUCGGACAUAGUGGCGCACGGGUGCGUAACACGUAUGCAACCUACCUUACAUUGGGGCAUAGCCUUUCGAAAGGGAGAUUACUACCGCAUAAGACAGUAGCUGGGCAUCCAGCAGCUGUUAAAGAUUUAUCGAUGUCAGCUGGGCAUGCGUCCAAUUAGCUAGUUGGUGAGGUAACGGCUCACCAAGGCAAUGAUUGGUAGGGGAACUGAGAGGUCAAUCCCCCACACUGGCACUGAGAUACGGGCCAGACUCCUACGGGAGGCAGCAGUAGGGAAUAUUGGGCAAUGGACGCAAGUCUGACCCAGCCAUGCCGCGUGCAGGAUGAAGGCGUUAUGCGUUGUAAACUGCUUUUAUACAGGAAGAAACGACUCUUGCGAGAGGCAUUGACGGUACUGUAUGAAUAAGCACCGGCUAACUCCGUGCCAGCAGCCGCGGUAAAAC
rnacentral:rRNA from 1 species